AUGUUUGCUUGGGACAGCACAUAUAAUGAAAAAGUGGAUCAGCUCAGAGAAGAUCAGCAUGAUUCCUGCACAAGGGGCAACACACAAAUUCACAAAGCAAUCAAUACUUUG
rnacentral:snRNA from 1 species